GGAAACCUCACCAGGCCCGGACACUGGAAGGAUUGACAGAUUGAUAGCUCUUUCUUGAUUCGGUGGGUGGUGGUGCAUGGCCGUUCUUAGUUGGUGGAGCGAUCUGUCUGGUUAAUUCCGAUAACGAACGAGACCCCAACCUGCUAACUAGCCCUCGGGUCCUGCUUCUGUUGGGCCCGACGGAAUGAUUCGCUUCUUAGAGGGACUCGCGGCGCCUAGCCGCACGAAGGGGGGCGAUAA
rnacentral:rRNA from 1 species